GGUGUGCAUUAUAGUUGACACCUGGAUGAACAGUUAACCGGUGUUUCUCUAAACUUUAGAGACGGUCCCUAGAUUUGCGAAUCUCGAACGUCAAGCCAACUUUAUUCCUGUCAAAAACGCGGGUGGGUCUCUAUCUUGAUCGGGGGUGAAAGAGGGAGAAAUAAGGAUGACACCGAUAUAUAGUUUAUGUACGACCUAGAAGUAUUUAUUCAGCGAUCGGCGCUAAAACGUCGUCUGUACAGAACACGUGUUUCUACAGUAUGCGCUUCCUGAGACAGUGAACGGUGAAAGCUGAGCUCCUCUACCAACCUCCAGCCGAACACAACACAGAGUCUCUGCCGAACAGCCGCCUCACGCUUCAACAUUAUCACUCACCAGCCCGUCGAUCUGGAUCUGUUUCACCGGCGAAUCCAGUGGACUGGAACCCGAAACAGCUACUUCUUUGUGGCUAGCCAUGGUCAGAUGAAGAAGGAAAA